UGAGGGAUUGGUUUGUUUGACUUAAAGCUCCUUUUAACAGCAGAGCCAGAGCUUAUUCCAGUAUACAAAAUACCCUCCAGGACUGUACUACCUGGGUUUUUGUUUAACACCUACAAAGGUGUGAAAAGCUAUCAAUAACUUGAAAAAAAAAAAAAAAAGACUUUAGCAGGAAGAUAUCUCUUUUUUCCUGCUUUACUUAGCAAGCAAGCUGUAGGUGGCUGUAUCUUGUUAGUUUAGGGACAAUACAAACACAUAAAUCCUUUGGACCAGAAUAAGAAAUAUAUUAAUUCUGCAUACAGAAAGAUACUUUAAUGAACAGAAAGUGACCUUUUUGUUACAUCGUAACUGAUUCAUAGGGACACAUCAAACGCCCAACACUCAAAAGCAUGCCAACUUCUAGUCCACUCUCCAUUUUUGCAAUUACAUGAUCAAACGAUUACUGAUAUCUCCAUAGUUAUGAACUGCCUCCAUACAAAUGACUCUGGAGGCGAAGCUCAUCUUCAUUACUCAUCAUCUGUGCAUCUCCUGUGAUGACAUGGCAGGACUGAAACCAGCUAAGACUUCAUUUUUCCAGAAUCCACAUGAUGGAAGUUAGCUUUUCAGGACACUUGCUGUACACUGAGUAACUGCAGCUGGUGUAGCCUAGAACAUCAGUGUUUGCUUAGGAACUCUGCUUUUAAGCAGACUUUUCAAAACAGACAAAAGGAGGUUUAAGAACAAAUCAAACCUAACAACAACAACAAAGACAACCAGAAAAAUGAGAUAAACACCUGCAG
rnacentral:lncRNA from 1 species